rnacentral:rRNA from 1 species
UACGAAGGGUGCAAGCGUUAAUCGGAAUUACUGGGCGUAAAGGGUGCGUAGGCGGUUCGUUAAGUCUGUCGUGAAAUCCCCGGGCUCAACCUGGGAAUGGCGAUUGAUACUGGCGAGCUAGAGUGUGUCAGAGGAAGGUGGAAUUCCCGGUGUAGCGGUGAAAUGCGUAGAGAUCGGGAGGAACAUCAGUGGCGAAGGCGGCCAUCUGGGACAACACUGACGCUGAAGCACGAAAGCGUGGGGAGCAAACAGG